rnacentral:rRNA from 1 species
GUGGGGAAUAUUGCACAAUGGGCGCAAGCCUGAUGCAGCGACGCCGCGUGGGGGAUGACGGCCUUCGGGUUGUAAACUCCUUUCGCUUGGGACGAAGCCUUUCGGGGUGACGGUACCUUGAGAAGAAGCACCGGCUAACUACGUGCCAGCAGCCGCGGUAAUACGUAGGGUGCGAGCGUUGUCCGGAAUUACUGGGCGUAAAGAGCUCGUAGGUGGUUUGUCGCGUCGUCUGUGAAAUCCCGGGGCUUAACUUCGGGCGUGCAGGCGAUACGGGCAUAACUUGAGUGCUGUAGGGGAGACUGGAAUUCCUGGUGUAGCGGUGAAAUGCGCAGAUAUCAGGAGGAACACCGAUGGCGAAGGCAGGUCUCUGGGCAGUAACUGACGCUGAGGAGCGAAAGCAUGGGUAGCGAACAGG